rnacentral:rRNA from 2 species
GGUGACAAGCCGGAGGAAGGCGGGGAUGACGUCAAGUCCUCAUGGCCCUUACGGGUUGGGCUACACACGUGCUACAAUGGUAACUACAGAGGGCAGCGACUUAGCGAUAAGUAGCCAAUCCCAAAAAGUUAUCUCAGUUCGGAUUGCACUCUGCAACUCGAGUGCAUGAAGUUGGAAUCGCUAGUAAUCGUGGAUCAGCAUGCCACGGUGAAUACGUUCCCGGGCCUUGUACACACCGCCCGUCACACCAUGGGAGUUGGUUUUACCCGAAGACGGUGGGCUAACCUUUUAGGAGGCAGCCGGCCACGGUAAGGUCAGCGACUGGGGUGAAGUCGUAACAAGGUAGCCGUAGGGGAACCUGCGGCUGGAUCACCUCCUUUCAAGG